CACGAAGCUGGCUUCACUUUCUGGACUCGGGUACUCACUCCAGAUACAUAAGUAGCUCACUGGGUCAAAGGCAGUGAGCUCCAUUUAUACCUUGAGCAAAAGAACUCGGGGGCCAAAAAGUGAACCUAAGAUGGCGGAAAUCGAAGGAGCUAUUGCACGUCAGUUUCAGUCUCCUACAUACAGUAUAUAGUUAACCCGCUAAACCGCGCAGGAGACUGAAACGUCCAAUAGCUCCUUCAAUUUCCGCCGUUUUGGCUUCACUUUUCUCAUAGGUCGAAUGAGAUCGCAAAUAAUUUCUGCGAAAAUGUAGAUCCCUCAAAAAUUCUGGGAACUACAGUACUAAAGGUUCCCAGGUUCCAAUACUUUUUCAACCUGUGAGUGACUCAAUCGAAUAUAAUGUGUUAUUUCAGGGUGAUCUGUGCAAUGAUGCCAUUGUGGCUGAAUGCUGUUUCCCGUGUGCUUUGUGCCAGUUGUCGAGGGAAUUGGAUGUUUUGGGUCGAUAAGCUGUCUGUCUAGUUGUAACUUUCACCACAAUGUAAACGUUAAGUUUUACGGCACAUGUACUACAUAUAUUGCCUCUUGGUUCAUGCUAGUUUGGAUUUAGUACAUACAGUAUGUUAAACACGCACUAUUUUUAUGCAAUAAAUAUCUUUGCUAGAUAAUGCAGGGUUCUCCUUAUCAGGCGGUAACCGGUAAAAUUUACCGUUUCCACGAGCACUGAUUACCGCCUGGAGAAGCCUAGAGAUUGUGUACGUUUGUUAAGAAAUAAUUAGUAAUACGGUGUGCAAAAAUCCUAUAAUCAAUCAACAGUGGCGUAGCCAGCUCGACGAUUCAGUCCCGUUAUGCAAAUAUUGCCAUGUUCAUCGGAAAAAGUGCUACGAAAAUCGGGAAAGAGAGAUUUAAAAUGUUGUCGUCCGGAAAAUUUUUUCCUCAUUGGGGUUUGUUAGCCUGCGAACAGGCCCUGGGUUGCGGGCGGCGCGAAGAAUAGAGGGCCUGCACGGAUGAUAGGUUUUCUUGGUAGUGGCGUUCGUAUAGAAACGCAGGCUUCUGAUUGGCUUACACUCGUUGACAAAAUUACUAAAAAUAGCAAAUGUCAACAACAGCAUUUUGAA